rnacentral:rRNA from 1 species
UAAGACGAACCGAGCGAACGUUGUUCGGAAUCACUGGGCUUAAAGGGCGCGUAGGCGGGCUGCCAAGUCCGGGGUGAAAUCCUCCCGCUCAACGGGAGAACUGCCCCGGAUACUGGCGGCCUCGAGGGGGGUAGGGGCAUCUGGAACUGUGGGUGGAGCGGUGAAAUGCGUUGAUAUCCACAGGAACUCCGGUGGCGAAGGCGAGGUGCUGGACCCCAUCUGACGCUGAGGCGCGAAAGCCAGGGGAGCAAACGGG